GGAAGAGCCCAAACCAACAAGCUUGCUUGUUGGGGUUGUAGGACACUCUAUACGGAGUUACAAAGGACGACAUUAGACGAAUCAUCUGGAAAGAUGAAUCAAAGAAGGUAAUAAUCCUGUAGUCGAAAAUGUUGUCUCUCUUGAGUGGAUCCUGAGUACGACGGAGCACGUGAAAUUCCGUCGGAAUCUGGGAGGACCAUCUCCUAAGGCUAAAUACUCUCUAGUGACCGAUAGUGAACCAGUACCGUGAGGGAAAGGUGAAAAGCACCCCGGAAGGGGAGUGAAAUAGAACCUGAAACCGUGUGCUUACAAGUAGUCAGAGCCCGUUAAUGGGUGAUGGCGUGCCUUUUGUAGAAUGAACCGGCGAGUUACGAUUUGAUGCAAGGUUAAGCAGUAAAUGUGGAGCCGUAGCGAAAGCGAGUCUGAAUAGGGCGUUUAGUAUUUGGUCGUAGACCCGAAACCAGGUGAUCUACCCUUGGUCAGGUUGAAGUUCAGGUAACACUGAAUGGAGGACCGAACCGACUUACGUUGAAAAGUGAGCGGAUGAACUGAGGGUAGCGGAGAAAUUCCAAUCGAACCUGGAGAUAGCUGGUUCUCUCCGAAAUAGCUUUAGGGCUAGCCUCAAGUGAUGAUUAUUGGAGGUAGAGCACUGUUUGGACGAGGGGCCCCUCUCGGGUUACCGAAUUCAGACAAACUCCGAAUGCCAAUUAAUUUAACUUGGGAGUCAGAACAUGGGUGAUAAGGUCCGUG
rnacentral:rRNA from 1 species